rnacentral:hammerhead_ribozyme from 1 species
AUCUAGCUGAUGAGUCUCAAGUAGUACGAAACCCGGGUCCUGGAU